rnacentral:rRNA from 1 species
AUCAACGCUGGCGGCGUGCCUCAGACAUGCAAGUCGAACGCGAACGUUCCCUUCGGGGAACUAGUAGAGUGGCGCACGGGUGAGUAACACGUUAGGUAAUCUACCUUUGGAUUGGGAAUAACACCGAGAAAUCGGUGCUAAUACCGAAUAAUGCAGCGGCACCUAAUGGUGACAGUUUGUUUAAAAGGCGGGGGGAUCGCAAGACCUCGCGUCUGAAGAGGAGGCCUGCGGCGGAUAUAGCUAGUUGGUAAGGUAAACGGCUUACCAAGGGCAACGAUCCGUAGCCGGCCUGAGAGGGCGGUCGGCCACACUGACACUGACAUACGGGUCAGACUCCUACGGGAGGCAGCAGUCGGGAAUUUUGGGCAAUGGGCGAAAGGCCUGGACCCAGCAACGCCGCGUGAAGGAUGAAAUCCCUCGGGAUAUGAUAAACUUCGCAAGAACGGGAAAGAAUAAGCUUUAGUGAAUAUCUGAAGCGGAUGACGGUACCGUUUGUAAGCUCCGGGCUAACUCCGUGCCAGCAAGCCGCGGUAAUACGGGGGGAGGCAAGCGUUUGUUCGGAUUUUUACUGGGCGUAAAGGGCGCGUAGGCGGCCAGCGCAAGUCAGUUGUGAAAUCUCCGGGGCCUUAACUCGGAAAGGUCAACUGAUACUGCCGCGGCUAGAGUGGCCGGAAGGGCAACUGGAAUUCUUGGUGUAGCGGGUGAAAAUGCGUAGAUAUCAAGAGGAACACCUGCGGCGAAGGCGGGUUGCUGGGGCCGACACUGACGCUGAUGCGCGAAGGAAAGCCAGGGGAGCGAACGGGAUUAGAUACCCCGGUAGUCCCUGGCCUUAAACGAUGAAUGCUUGGUGUCUGGGGGUUAUAAAGUCCCCGGGUGCCGUCGCUAACGCUUUUUAAGCAUUCCGCCUGGGGAGUACGGUCGCAAAGAACUUGAAACUCAAAGGAAUUGACGGGGACCCGCACAAGCCGGUGGAGGCAUGUGGUUUAAUUCGACGCAACGCGAAGAAACCUUACCUGGGCUAGAAUUGCCUCUGACAAACCCUAGAGAUAGGGCCUUCUGGGUAAAAACCAGACAGAGUGCAAGGUUGCUGCAUGGCUGUCGUCAGCUCGUGUCGUGAGGAGAUGUUGGGGUUUAAGUCCGCACGAGCGCAACCCUUAUCAAUAGUUGCCAGCGGUGUCGGCCGGGGCACUCUAUUUGAGACUGCCGGUUGACAACAAAACGGAAGGGAAGGUGGGGAUGACGUCAAGUCCUCAUGGCCUUUAUGUCCAGGGGCUACACACGUGCUACAAUGGCAGGUACAAACCGCCGCAAACUCGCAAGAGGGAGCCCAAUCGGAAAAAGCCUGUCCUCAGUUCGGAUUGGAGUCAGUGCAACUCGACUCCAUGAAGUUGGAAAAUCGCUUAGUAAUCGCAGAUCAGCAUGCUGCGGUGAAUACGUUUCCCGGGUCUUGUACACACCGCCCGUCAACAUCACGAAAGUGGGUUUGUACUAGAAGCGCCAGAGCUAACCCCGUAAGGGGGGCAUGGUGUAAACGGUAUGAUCCAUGAUUGGGGUG